rnacentral:rRNA from 1 species
CCUUUACAAUGCACGAAAGUGUGAUAAGGCAAUCCAAAGUGCUUACACAUAGUGUAGGCUUUUGCCAAUGCUAAAUCCAUUGGCGAAUAAGUGGUGGGUAAGACUGGUGCCAGCCGCCGCGGUAACACCAGCGCCACAAGUGGGAACCAUGUUUAUUGGGCUUAAAGCGUUCGUAGCCUGUUUGGUAAAUCUUUUGUGAAAUUGUUAUCCUCAAUAUAACAGCGAGCAGAAGAGACUGCCAAACUAGGGACCGGGAGGGGUCAGGAGUAUGCCGUGGGGAGCGGUAAAAUGCUAUAAUCCUCGGUGGACUACCAUUGGUGAAGACGCCUGACUAGAACGG